UGGGGAAUUUUGGACAAUGGGUGAAAGCCUGAUCCAGCAAUGCCGCGUGUGUGAAGAAGGCCUUCGGGUUGUAAAGCACUUUUGUCCGGAAAGAAAUCCUUGGCUCUAAUACAGUCGGGGGAUGACGGUACCGGAAGAAUAAGCACCGGCUAACUACGUGCCAGCAGCCGCGGUAAUACGUAGGGUGCAAGCGUUAAUCGGAAUUACUGGGCGUAAAGCGUGCGCAGGCGGUUUGCUAAGACCGAUGUGAAAUCCCCGGGCUCAACCUGGGAACUGCAUUGGUGACUGGCAGGCUAGAGUAUGGCAGAGGGGGGUAGAAUUCCACGUGUAGCAGUGAAAUGCGUAGAGAUGUGGAGGAAUACCGAUGGCGAAGGCAGCCCCCUGGGCCAAAUACUGACGCUCAUGCACGAAAAGCGUGGGGAGCAAAACAGGAUUAGAUACCCUGGUAGUCCACGCCCUAAAACGAUGUCAACUAGUUGUUGGGGAUUCAUUUCCUUAGUAACGUAGCUAAACGCGUGAAGUUGACCGCCUGGGGGAGUACGGUCGCAAAGAUUAAAAACUCAAAGGAAUUGACGGGGUCAUAGCUGUUUCCU
rnacentral:rRNA from 1 species